rnacentral:lncRNA from 1 species
AGCUUACGUCAGUCUUAGGGAAAAUAACGUUUGGGACAACAGGAAGUCGUUAGAGACCAACUACGACAUGUUGGCAGCCCAUUUGGCGAGCAAUCACAUAAUGACUGUCACUGGCUAGCAAUUGCAGACCAGAUUCUAUCACAUCAAGAAGAAAUGGGACCUGUUCUACAAUCUGCAUGGGAUUUCAUCAAAAACAGAGACCGGGGUUGGGUGGAGUGAAGACAGCUACUGCUUCACUGCUGAUGAUGAACAUUGGGCCAACUUGGAGCAGGUAUGGACUUGUCGCUUUCUUGACUUCUGUUAAUGGAAUUUCUCUGUAGUUUAGAUUUGAAAGGUGACUUCAGAUUCCCCAUUGAACUAAAAUCUGAGCACUCAAUCUUGUUUAAACUCCACUUGUUAGUCUCACUUAUGUUUAAUCCUUGAUGUCUUUUUAUCCUUGAUUUUCCGGUGACUUCAUCGAUUUUUAUAUGCUGACUCCACUUGUUAUUCCGUCUUAUUUUUAAUCCUCGAAGUCUUUUGACGAGUUAAUCUUGUAGCUCAGUCAUUACAUCCUUAUUAGAUUGAAUGAUGAAAAGAACCUGUAAUUUGGUGCACAACUACAUAUUCAAUUCUGAAUAGAACUAGAUUUGGGUUAUAAAGGGUUAUAAGGGGAGGUUCCUGAAUAAUAUAAGCAUUUUCCUUGUUAAAAUAACUUGAAUAUUUAGAGUUUUCAGUAAGCGCAUGAAUUUUUACUGAAAAAAAAAAUACAGCUUCAAUGAAUUCGGAUGACAACUCGGGUUACAUCCCUUUUCAUGAAAUGCUUAAACAUUUAGAGAGGUAUUCAUCUGUAGUCUGGGGCUCUGAGAUGUUUUUUAAAUCUGUCAAGGAUUAGUUAAUGCCAAGCUGUUCAUCGUUCCUUUUCUCCUUGUGAUUUGUCCUGGGAAUUGAAGGAAAUGGCUCUCAAUCAUAAGUUGUGAUUUUUUGAUAGGAGUUAACUUUGUUGGCAUUGAGCAGCGUCAAACUUCUGUUAUCUCGUUUAC